UGGCUUUUGUCAUAUUUGGUUUAAUCAGCAUGGAUGAUGUGCAUUCAUUUCAAAAACAGAAUGACGUAAACGCGGUUGGAGGCCAAGGUCAAGUUGAAUGUUGCUGUCUAGCCAUCCAGCCCGUCGGUCUAUUCAGGCUUUGAAGAGACCGUCUGAGCUCUUGAAAAGAGCGGAAGAGGGGUGAGAAUUCCUGUCCCAAUGAACGCUAUUGGAGGACAUUAACUUUUACUGUCAUUUUGUGCUCUCCCCUGUUUACUCUUGCGAACUAGUUCGAACCCGCUCCUUCUUCUUCUUCUUCUUCUUCUGGGUGGCACGUAGGCCUACUUUUGAAUGCCAGCGUUGGAAAUGUAAAAAGAACAGUGCUGAGGUCUUGUUAAUUAUUCUUUUAGGGGUGUUUCUUUCUCUCUCUCUUUUUCUUCUUCUUUUGGUAGACAUGUGUGAAAAAGAAAAUGCAUGUGUGUGUGUGUGUGUGUGUGUGUGUGUGUGUGUGUGUGUGUGUGUGUGUGUGUGUGUGUGUGUGUGUGUGUGUGUGUGUGUGUUUGUCUGGUCUGCUGGUUUGUGUUUAUGACCAGUGACUCUCCGUCUAUUCACUGCAGUAGGACCUGAUGGAUUUUCCCUUGUGGUUCUUACCAGAUUUUCCAAAUCCACCAUAAAUUGUCACCUACAUGUCCCUGUGUGUACUGUUUCUGCUAUAAGACUGGGGAACUAAACACCCAACGAGAAGCUGCUAUGGAUGGAGGUAUUUAGCUUCCAGCCCACAAGCCAAAUACUUUAUAUGAGAAUAAUAAUUGUAAAAAAAAAAUUCCGUCACAUUUGUUAUCUAAAAUAUGAACAGCUGUAAAUUCCAACACAUCAUUAACUUCGAUAAUAUAUCAACUGAAACUAGAUAUUAAUGAACAGUAAACACUGAUUUAGGCUGUUUACUUUUAUAUUGUGAACCGUAGACUUGCUGGCACCGGGCGACAAAAAAGGGAUGGACUGGGGUUGUUAAACAAAAGGAAGCUUAAGACAGCAGUUUGUGUUAAAAAAAAAAAAAAAAAUAGAAAUAAAAAGUGUGCUUGAUGCUUUGUCUUUUU
ensembl:lncRNA